UUUGAAAUUCAAGUAACUUUAUUUAAAUUCAAAAACAAUUCUUAAAACUGCAUUUAGAGUCAAGACCCUAUUGUAUUGUAAAAAUCACAAGUAUUUCUAAGAGAGAAAAAUAGUUCUAGGUUAACUAGACCAGAUCUGACUGACUUUGGACUUUAUUCUUUAAACAAAUUGCAGAGAAUAGAGAAAAAGGUUAUUUACAGAAAACAAUAUCUACAUAUGUACUUAGAGGUACAAAUUUGGUGGCAGAAAAGACUUCAGUAUAUGCUGGCAUCUCAGAAGCAGUUCUCAAAGAGCUUAGUUUUAUUUUCUUGAAUUUUAUGAAUGCCUAAGGUCCUUCUUCAUCCUCCAUCUUGGGAGCCAAGU
rnacentral:lncRNA from 1 species